rnacentral:snRNA from 1 species
GUUGAUUACCAAACCCGAAGAAG